rnacentral:rRNA from 1 species
UCUGAAGAGAGAGUAAACAGUACGUGAAGCCGCAUGCAGGUAAACGGGUGGCGUCAAGCUGCGAGCCCGGGGUAUUUAACUGACUAGGAUGUAGUGUACGCGCGCCUGGUGCGUCGAGAGGCCGGAAUAAGAUGUAGUGGUUCACUCCUCUCUUUGGAGUGAGGCUGCGAUCGGUGUGCACUUACGUAUAUCGGUCGUUGCUAUACAUGCCGGAUGGGUGCCGGAGUAUGCCGCUCGUCUGUUGGGCCACCUUAGUCAGUGCAUUUACUCCGUGGUGAACACCACGACCGGUGGAACUGCCAGUCUGCUAUGAUCAAGUUGUAUUCUCCUGGCACUUUAUGGUGUUGGAUGAGUACGAUCGCAGAUGGAGUCGGUAGACGGCGCAGUGGUGCUUCGGUACUGCCGCGUGUUAUCGUGUACUCUCUAUCGUAAGUGGCUAGUGGAGUCGACUAAGUGCUGUGACUACUUCUCUGCUAACUGGCGGGUCAUAGUGGUGAAAGGGACUGUGCAGGGCACCGGAGUUGUCCACCUCAUUUAAUAUGGUACCCGGCACGCACGUUACAGGUGCUAUAUAAUCGGGAUGCGCCGCUGUCUGUCUGGUAUUGGGCCUGGCUGUCGUGUCGCCUGCGCAAAGUAGGUCCGACGGUGGUUUCGAUGCUUGACAGUCGCAGUGCGUUGCGUAUCUUGGGUGUCUGUGGUACCGGGGGUGAAAUAGUCAGUGGUGCUGUGGUAGACGAGCUACC